GUUUUUUUCUAUUUUGUUUUGGCUCAGAUUGUGACUGAGGCUUAUGGUGCUAUAAAGAUAAUUAUAUCAUAUUAUUAUUGUUGUAAAGUCUUUAUGUUGUUCCAAUCAUUAUACCGCCGCUUCAAAAAAGUGUGGUAUACUGUUUUUCCUCUGUCUGUCUGUCCGUCCUUCCAACCGUCCAGUUCAUCCCUCCGUCCCAUGAAUAUUUUCGUUGAAUUUUUUCAUGAACUACAUUACAAGGAUUUCUGAAAGGUUUAUUGAAGUCGGCUAUAUCGUGUGAUAAGUUUUCAGAUUCAUCACUCAACCACUUCCUGUUUACCGAACACUUUUCACAUAACAGCCAAGUUAAAAAAAAAAUCGUCAUAUUUUUCUGAAGAACUACAAUUUAAUACAAAGAUUUCUGAAAAUUGGUUUCGGGGUUUAUAUUAGUCAGCUAUACUGUGUGAUGCUUUUUCAAAUUCAAAACUCAACAACGAAAUAUUUGGGCGAGGUAUCAUCAGUAGUUUGCACCAUCAUUGGUUGUUUAUAUGCUCUUUAUAGACCCUUUAAUUUGGAAAAAUGAAAUAUUCUGUUCUGUUUUAUUCUAUAUACAGAUUUCGAAUUGAAUAUAUAGAAAGUAUUCGAACUACCUAAGCCUGAUGUUAUAUAUACGGAGUUAUUUCUUUAAAAACAUGUUUUUAUAUCUAAUAAUACACACAGACAUUUUUUUUAUCCUGUUACCCUUAUGCUUGACUUGAUAAGUAUUGGACUUAUGGAUUGUGGGAGUAUUGGGCUGUCGGAACAAUGGAUUGUCGGACUAUUGGGUUGUUGUACUAAUGGGUUGUCAGACUAAUUGGCUGUUGGACUAAUGUGCUGUUGGACCAAUAGGUUUUCGGACUAAUGGGUUGUCCGACUAAUGGGCUGUCGGACUAAUGGACUGUCGGACCAAUGGGCUGUCGGAAUAAUGACAUGUAACCUAUAUGGCCUGGUUAACUAAUGAAAUUUAUUAAAAUUUACCAUUUGAUCUUAGGAGAACCUUUCUGGAGCCCUCUUUUCGUCAUACAUACACUACUAUAUUGUUCGACUUUCAUAUAGAUUUUUUUUUAUCUUUU
rnacentral:lncRNA from 1 species